AUACGGAGGAUCCGAGCGUUAUCCGGAUUUAUUGGGUUUAAAGGGUGCGCAGGCGGCCAUUUAAGUCAGCGGUUAAAUCGUGGGGCUCAACCCCAUUCUGCCGUUGAUACUGGAUGGCUUGAUUGCGGUCGAGGUUGGCGGAAUUCGUUGUGUAGCGGUGAAAUGCAUAGAUAUGACGAAGAACACCGAUUGCGUAGGCAGCUGACCAGACCGCAAAUGACGCUCAUGCACGAAAGUGCGGGGAUCGAACAGGAUUAGAUACCCUGGUAGUCCGCACAGUAAACGAUGAAUACUUGUUUUCGGCGAUAUAAUGUCGGAGGCAAAGCGAAAGCGAUAAGUAUUCCACCUGGGGAGUACGCCGGCAACGGUGAAACUCAAAUGAAUUGGCGGGG
rnacentral:rRNA from 1 species